GAUGAAGAACGUAGCGAAAUGCGAUAAGUAAUGUGAAUUGCAGAAUUCAGUGAAUCAUCGAAUCUUUGAACGCACAUUGCGCCCGCCAGUAUUCUGGCGGGCAUGCCUGUUCGAGCGUCAUUACAACCCUCAGGCCCCCGGGCCUGGCGUUGGGGAUCGGCGGAAGCCCCCUGUGGGCACACGCCGUCCCUCAAAUACAGUGGCGGUCCCGCCGCAGCUUCCAUUGCGUAGUAGCUAACACCUCGCAACUGGAGAGCGGCGCGGCCAUGCCGUAAAACACCCAACUUCUGAAUGUUGACCUCGAAUCAGGUAGGAAUACCCGCUGAACUUAAGCAUAUAAUAAGCGGAGGA
rnacentral:misc_RNA from 1 species